UGCAGAAAGAUGGGUAGGAUUUUUAAUAAUCAGAAUGGGAGAGAAGGGGAAAUUUGUGGAUGUUCAGAUACUCUGAUGUUUGAUAGAGUUCUUGGUGAUGUCUUGCAGUCUUUAUAUAUUCUUUUUUUUCUUCAUUCCAGUUAAUAUUUUAAUAACAAGUUUGUAGUCUUAUCGCGUGCACAAUGACCAGGUUUCAAACUAGAUUUUUAUUUUUUUGACAGCAAAUAUCUCCUUUCAAUUAUCCAAGGGUGAAUUUUUUUAUCUAAACAGAGAGGUAAACACAAGCAACUCCAGAUCAGGUAAUCUUGCUUAAUUACUUGAUUGAUUAUAAAACAAUAUCUUCUGCUUUGAAACUCUAAUAUUAAAUGAGUGUCAUAUUCAAUGUAUCUUACAUAGUUACAUUGGUAGUUUAUUUUAUUUAGAACACUUGUUAUAACCACUAAUUGGAAGCAAUUUAUUAUCAAGAUUUUUUUCUUAGUUUUCUGCUGUUCACAAGAAUUUGAUUGGAUGUAAUCUUUUACUUUGUCAAUUGCCUACGUGUUUGCCUUUACUUCCAAGUUUUUAUUCUGGUCUUCAAAUCUAGAACUAUCUCUUUCUAAGUUCUUCAUCUCUUUGAUUGAAUAUGCUAUGGAUCUUUUAGAUUCGUCCAAUACCACUUUUUUAUAGGUGCUCUUCUGUUGAAUCCUAGCAGUGACUGUCCUACUUGUUUCAAUGCUAGCAGGGACUACCCUACUUGUUUCAAUGCUUGCAGUGCUUUGUUUCAUUAUCUUUGAUCACUGGUUUGGAAGUUAGGACCGUUGACUCUACUACAGCUUUGUUUUGAAUUCCUUUUCAGAGAGUUGUCCAAAUUUGAUUUUUCUUUCUUUCUUUUGAGCCAAAACUAAUGGCAGACGGAACAAAGAUGUUUCAAUUUGGUUAUCUAAUCUAAAGUUUCAUUUCUAAGUUGUUUUACAGCCGCCUUUUUGAAUGGAAAGUGGAUAAGUAUAAUUUUAUGUAGUGGUAUUUUUGUACUUCGAAUGUUAUCGUUUUUUUUAGUACUGAAACUCUGCAGAUGCCCAUUUGAUGUGUUAUGUAGACAACUAUUUUGAUUAUAGAUGUCUAAUAAAAUUUAUUAUUGAUGAUAUUAAAAUGGGUGGCAAUAAAUACUUUCUGAGUUUGUUGAGUUUAGUAAUUGGAAUGAGUACUUACGAUACGAUUUUAACACGAUGCGAACAUGAUACUUUCAUAAUAGUGUUUAGUUAGCGUCAAAAGUUUUAACACGAUUAAUAAUAGUGUCGAUUUAGUGUGUUGAAUAGAUACACAACUUU
rnacentral:lncRNA from 1 species